rnacentral:rRNA from 1 species
CCUACGGGUGGCAGCAGUGGGGGAUAUUGCACAAUGGGGGAGACCCUGAUGCAGCGACGCCGCGUGUGGGGAGACGGUCCUCUGGAUUGUAAACCACUGUCCCCAGGGACGAAGAUGACGGUACCUGGGGAGUAACCUCAGGCAAACUACGUGCCAGCAGCCGCGGUAAUACGUAGGGAGCGAGCGUUGUCCGGAAUUACUGGGUGUAAAGGGAGCGUAGGCGGUGAUGCAAGUUGGGUGUAAAAAUUACCGGCUCAACUGGUAGUCGCACUCAAAACUGCAGCUCUUGAGUGAAGUAGAGGCAGGCGGAAUUCCUAGUGUAGCGGUGAAAUGCGUAGAUAUUAGGCGGAACACCAGUGGCGAAGGCGGCCUGCUGGGCUUUUACUGACGCUGAGGCUCGAAAGUGUGGGGAGCAAACAGGAUUAGAUACCCGAGUAGUC